ACAAUUAUUUCACUCUCUAAACCCUAGAUCCUCCACCGCAUAACUAAAGCACCUCCACCACACCUCCACCGCACCUCCACCUUUCAUCCAUGGAACCGGUCUUUGCCAUCACCGUCUUCUCCCCUUUCAUCCAUGGAACCGGUACCGUUUUUUACCCUAUUUUGUACGUUUUUUUUUUUAAUCUUUGUCAGAUCUGUGAUAAUACUUUUAGAUCUGUGAUAAUACUUUUAGAUCUGUGAAUCUGUGAUAAUACUUUUAGAUCUGUGAUAAUACUUUUAGAUCUGUGUUGGUUUUGUGAUUAUUUUAAUGUUCUGUGAAUGGAUCAACAUCGAGAGUAUAUAUUUUUGUAUUGGUUAGGGUUUUUGUUUUUUUGGAAAUUUGAAUAUAGUUGAAGACGAAGACGGAUGAACAGGUGAAAGAGAGAACACUGCGGCUUGGUUGAAGAACCUUCAAAUUCAGCCUUAGUGGCUUGCAAUGAAUUAUGAAGUUAAGAAACUGAAAAAGCUUGCCCUGAAGAGGUAAUAUGACAUUCUUUGGGGCUAUUUUCGGUCAUUAAUCAAAUUGGUAAUAUAUGACAUUCUUUGGGGCUAUUUUUGGUCAUUAAUCAAAGAAAGCAAUCAAGGUCUACUGAAAAAGCUUGCCAUGAAGAGGUAAUAUGACAUUCUUUGGGGCUAUUUUCGGUCAUUAAUCAAAUUGGCAAAAUAAAAAAUUGUGUAAAACUGUUACACCUCAAAUGAGUUGAAGCAGGUUAAUCAGUUGAAAAGCUAAUUAAAGUGUAUUGAUUAUUUGCAACGGUACGUGGUUUGACUAGAUGUUUGUAUUAUUCUGGUUAGGUUUUGUUUUUCGUGUCAACACGGUCAACGAAUAUGUAUCUUUUGAUCUGAAGGAAAUGCUGAAGGAUGUGGUGAGAACCAAGACUUAUCUAAACGUCAUCUACAAGAAGAAAUAUUUAUUCAAAGAAAAGAUUGUUCUUGACGUUGGUGCCGGGACCGGAAUAUUCUCCCUCUUCUGUGCAAAAGCUGGGGCAAAACAUGUUUAUGCUAUUGAGUGCUCACAGAUGGCUGAUAUGGCACCAGAUAUUGUUAAGGCGAACGGUUUUUCAAAUGGGAAAGGUUGAAGAAAUCGACCUUCCAGUUCCACAAGUGGAUGCUAUUAUUUUGGAAUGGAUGCGUUAUUUUCUGUUAUAUGAGAAUAUGUUGAAUACAGUUUUAUAUGCUCGUGAUAAGUGGCUGGUAAGUUUCAUUUACUUUUUUUGGUUUUUUAAUUUGGUUUUUUUGUUUUUAGGUUUGGCCAGUUUUGCGACUUUCGUCCAAAGGCAUUUUCAUCCAGCAUUAUGAAUGUGGUGAAAGAGGUCAUCUGUCAUUGGCAUGCCCUAAGAAACAAGCUUCUGAUGUGGCGAAUUCGAUACAGGUGGCUAAUGACAUGGAAGUUGAGAAAGCUGACUUGGCAGUUGUUGGUAAGGAAGCGAGUGAUAAUGCUGAUGCGGGUCGGGCUGGGCGUAGAGGAAGUAUUUAUCUUGAUGGGCUUACAACCACUUUACACUUAGACGAUUUGGACUACUUAAUCGAAUGCUUACAAAAAUUGUUCGAUGAAGUUAAGAAAGUGGGCCUCUUCCCAUUCUACGAGCAAGUCGAGUUAUUCACUGGACAAAUCACAGACGUUACGUUCUUCGAAUUACUUGAAAAAUUUGGUGAAAAUUGUCGUUUGGAUGGAUCGUACUUUUUGUGCAAACACAAUCAUAUAAAAAAAGUCGCUAACAUGUUGGAGAAAGUUCAAGGGCUCUCGCUUGAAGACCGGUUUAACUUCUGUUUUGCUCCAGUUAACAUUCGGGAUCCAAAGGCGAUAUUUACAAAGAUUUGCUCAAUCGUACUCUCAAAACGUGCCAGUUAGUUUAGCUAUGGGGAUGUCGAAGUCUUUUGCUAGAAACGAUACAGAGUUGUUAGAUCUUGAGAGUAAGCAUCAAGUUGUAUCUAUGUGUAUCUAUGGCUGUCGAAUCACUUCAAGGAGGAAACUUUUCAGUAUGUGAAGAAAGCGGAGGCCAUGGCGACUGAUAUUGCCGAGUUAUUAGGUCAAUCUCUUAUUAAAGCGAACUGGAAACCGGAAUCGAGAAAUCAAGGGUUAAGCUGCAAGAACACGGUCUCGUAGGGACGACGGUGGUUACGACGGACGCCGUGGUAGUCCUCGCGGUAGUUUCGGAUCUGGUGAUAGAAGGUUUGUAAACGGUUUUCACUUUUUAUUAAUAUUAUUAUUUUUUUUAUUUUCUGUAUUACGCUAUCUCAUGGAAAACUAUAGGUACAGACUAUAGUGUCGAAAUCUCACCAUAUAUGAAGCUAAUUUUAGUAAGCCAGUUGAUUGACUAGGCUAUUAGUUAAUGUGCCUGUGAAUUUGCUUUGUUUCUAUUUAUUUGUUAAUCGAAUAUCAUUAUAAUUGACUGUGUUUGUGUUAGUAGUGAUUGUUCCAGGUUUGAGCUUCCAUUGGGGAGUAUAAUGGCAUUGUUUAAUGGUCUGCUACCUUUGUGAAGAGAUGCAGGAAGAUUGCGAGUUAGUAGAUUAUGAGUGAGUGUGAGACUGAGAGUAUUCAUUCACCAGUUCUAUAUAAUUGAUUUUGAGUGAGAGUAUUACUUCUACUAUUCCAAAUACUUGACCAAAUACUUGAGUGUGAGUGAGUGUUGCAUUCCAUCUGUUCUAUAUGAUUGAUUUUGAGAGAGUUUUACUCCAUCCAUUCUAAAUUACAGGAGCACUUUCCUGGUCUAAUCAUAUAAGUACAUAGGAAAGUGCUUUUAUAAUUUGGAAGGGGAGGAGUAUUAAUUGAAGGGGAGACUCGAAGUUGAAAAGGGGAGGCGCUGGUAAUGUUUAGAAACAGGGAGACCGGAGACGGUUAUUCACCUGAGUCAAAGCAGAUGGUGUAAUAUUAAGUUUUUGAUUUGAUUGAAUGCGGCUCUAAAAGUGUGGAAUGAAACUUGAAUGUACCAGUCUUGGUUUGAAUAUUCCUUCUUCAGGUUGCGAUAGCUCGCCAGUUCUAUUUCAACUACACUACGCCAGAUCAGUCUCGACAAGAAAUAUUUCACAGCGUCAAAUUCAUGUUUCACGCUCUCGCUCAUCAAAUCUCUGUUCGAUCUCUCAGGUAUAACUGUUUGUUUGUUCUCUAGAUCUAUACACACUUUUUUCAUUGAAUUAAAUCCAAAUGAAAUCCAUUAUCAUCGAUGAAUGUUCAUCGAUCUGUUGAUUCAUUCUAAAAGUUAUGUGAUUCAAUCGUUAAUUUUUCUUGUUCGGAUCUCAGUAUAAAUAAUUUGUUCGUGUUGAAUACGAUUUUGAUCUUCAAAAUCUAUACGCAAUCGUAUUAAAUUUAUCGAUGAGUGUUCUAGGUUUUUUGCAUCAAUAUAUUGAUUUUGAUUGAUUAAUUUUCAAAAUGAUGCGGUUGAGUGGUUAAUUUUGUUUGUUUUUAACGGUUAUUAAGAAUACAGGGUGAACGGUGAACUGAAACCAUUCGACGAGAGUGAGUUUUUGAGAAGAUGAUUAAAUUGAUGAUGAUCAGAUCUCGGUGGUUGGAGUUCCAGAUGCGAUUCCCGUCAAGUAUAUGGAGGGACUAAUGGAUGAUGUUGAAAAAUCAAAUGAGAUGGUCUAAUUGAUCUUUUUUUUUUUUUUUUGUUGAAGAUAGAAGAUAGUUGCCCAGAUUUGGUAACAUCUGUUGAGGCUACCCAAAUUCCGCUUCAAAACGAGCCUGCCUGUUAGGUAUCUGUUUAUGUUUCAGCUUCAUUUGUGUUAACAGAUUAUUUUAUGAUCUGUUAUAAUUUAUUGUUGAUGCAUCUAUUCUGAUUCUUAUUCAGACCCACAUACAUCACUAAAGAUUUUACUUAUAAUGAUUUAUGAAGGCAACCUGACACCAACCAGAAGCGGUAUAAGGAGUAGGUCAAACGAGUUGUGUAAUUGCUCAAAUGGGUAUUUUUUUUGGUAUGGGCUAGGUUGACCCGCAAACAUGUUUUAGUCCGUUUUUAACUUGUGUUAAACAUGAUUACAUUAACAGGAAUAUUACAAUAUAUGUGAAGCGGUUUCGCCUCCUUUGGAUAUUCUGGAUUAUUUUUAUUUUUAUUUUUAUUUUUUGUGCUCAUGAAUGAUA